rnacentral:rRNA from 2 species
ACGGGAGGCAGCAGUGGGGAAUAUUGCACAAUGGGGGAAACCCUGAUGCAGCGACGCCGCGUGAGUGAAGAAGUAUUUCGGUAUGUAAAGCUCUAUCAGCAGGAAAGAAAAUGACGGUACCUGACUAAGAGGCCCCGGCUAACUACGUGCCAGCAGCCGCGGUAAUACGUAGGGGGCAAGCGUUAUCCGGAUUUACUGGGUGUAAAGGGAGCGUAGACGGUAAGGCAAGUCUGAAGUGAAAUGCCAGGGCUCAACCCUGGAACUGCUUUGGAAACUGUCCUACUAGAGUGCAGGAGAGGUAAGUGGAAUUCCUAGUGUAGCGGUGAAAUGCGUAGAUAUUAGGAGGAACACCAGUGGCGAAGGCGGCUUACUGGACUGUAACUGACGUUGAGGCUCGAAAGCGUGGGGAGCAAACAGGAUUAGAUACCCUGGUA